rnacentral:tmRNA from 1 species
UGUAUAUAAUAAAGAAUGUAGAAAUUUCGGACGCGGGUUCAACUCCCGCCAGCUCCACCA